CAGUCGCCGCGGUAAUACGUAGGGUGCAAGCGUUAAUCGGAAUUACUGGGCGUAAAGCGUGCGCAGGCGGUUAUAUAAGACAGAUGUGAAAUCCCCGGGCUCAACCUGGGAACUGCAUUUGUGACUGUAUAGCUAGAGUACGGCAGAGGGGGAUGGAAUUCCGCGUGUAGCAGUGAAAUGCGUAGAUAUGCGGAGGAACACCGAUGGCGAAGGCAAUCCCCUGGGCCUGUACUGACGCUCAUGCACGAAAGCGUGGGGAGCAAACAGGAUUAGAGACCCCAGUAGUCCCUGUCUCUUAUAC
rnacentral:rRNA from 1 species